AGUGAACGCUGGCGGUAGGCCUAACACAUGCAAGUCGAACGGCAGCACAGUAAGAGCUUGCUCUUACGGGUGGCGAGUGGCGGACGGGUGAGGAAUACAUCGGAAUCUACUUUUUCGUGGGGGAUAACGUAGGGAAACUUACGCUAAUACCGCAUACGACCUACGGGUGAAAGCAGGGGAUCUUCGGACCUUGCGCGAUUGAAUGAGCCGAUGUCGGAUUAGCUAGUUGGCGGGGUAAAGGCCCACCAAGGCGACGAUCCGUAGCUGGUCUGAGAGGAUGAUCAGCCAAACUGGAACUGAGAAAAGGUCCAGACUCCUACGGGAGGCAGCAGUGGGGAAUAUUGGACAAUGGGCGCAAGCCUGAUCCAGCCAUACCGCGUGGGUGAAGAAGGCCUUCGGGUUGUAAAGCCCUUUUGUUGGGAAAGAAAAGCAGCAGGUUAAUACCCCGCUGUUCUGACGGUACCCAAAGAAUAAGCACCGGCUAACUUCGUG
rnacentral:rRNA from 1 species